GAUGAACGCUAGCUACAGGCUUAACACAUGCAAGUCGAGGGGCAGCACAGUGUAGCAAUACAUGGGUGGCGACCGGCGCACGGGUGCGUAACGCGUAUCCAACCUUCCCGUUACUCAGGGAUAGCCUUCCGAAAGGGAGAUUAAUACCUGAUGGUGUUUGAAUUCCGCAUGUUAUUCAAACUAAAGAUUUAUCGGUAACGGAUGGGGAUGCGUGACAUUAGAUAGUAGGCGGGGUAACGGCCCACCUAGUCUACGAUGUCUAGGGGUUCUGAGAGGAAGGUCCCCCACACUGGAACUGAGACACGGUCCAGACUCCUACGGGAGGCAGCAGUGAGGAAUAUUGGUCAAUGGACGCAAGUCUGAACCAGCCAUGCCGCGUGCAGGAUGACGGCUCUAUGAGUUGUAAACUGCUUUUGUAUGAGGGUAAUAUCAGGUACGUGUACCUGCUUGAAAGUAUCAUACGAAUAAGGAUCGGCU
rnacentral:rRNA from 1 species